CAAGUUAUUUUAAUGAUCCACUAGCACACGUGAAAGAUAGAUGUCAUGAAAGCAUCUUAUUGCUGUCGGCAUUGCCAGCUAAAAUGUGGUAAAGAGCAGGUCUCCCAAGUGGUGGAGAAGCUGAACUUACAAUUAGUUGGAAAUGAUAAUUAUCACAAAGCAAAUAAACAAGUUGUGCCGAUUUUUGAGAGUUGCAGAAUCUGAAAUAUGGCUUAUUCAUCCUUGAGGUGCUUCCCUCACUCGGUUCUUAGCAAAGAAACUACAAGAAAA
rnacentral:lncRNA from 1 species